AAGCGGAAGCCGGCCCCCGCCGCCCGCCAUCUUGGGGAGGUCGGCGCUGGAGGAGGUGGAGCCCGGGGUGCACUGCCGGCUGACGAGCGGCUUUCUCAGCCUCCGUUUGGGCGGUCGGGACAAUCGGGUUUGGCUUCAGGAGGAUUAUAUAUCUGCCUGGCAUCCCUUUUUGGUCCUGCUGGAGAUUUCUUGGGUGGUGAACCAGAAGUUGUAUCUUCAUUGGCUCUCUUUUGCCUAUAAUGGUUUCCAGGAUAAUGUUACUGUGCUUUUAUAAGAAGGAGGAAUGUGGAAGAGAUCCUGGAAAGACAAAAUGAGACAAGAUUUCUAAUAUAUCUGGUGCUAUGGAGAGUGGUGGUGAGGGUAAGAAACAUGGAGACAUCUUAAAGUUUAGGAGAGAGCCUCGCCUGUUUUACCCUGCAGAGCCAAGCGAAGUUGUCGGAUAUAAACCUGCAGACCCCGUGCAAAGUACUGCAGCCUAAAUAAAGAAGUAUUGGUUAAUUAGCAAAUCACCACUUCAACUUUGUUUUUAAACUCAAAGAAUCUUCCACUAUAGCUAAAUGUUCUUAACUAAUAAAGAUAAUUUUUUUGAGGAACUUUUAAAAAUUAUCAAUAUAUGAUCCCAAGAGAUACAUAAAUAAGCAAAAUAAACACAGUUUUCCCUUACCAAAAAUGUGAGGAAAUCCAUACUCAACCUGGCAAGGGAAAGAUUUAUAACACUGUGCUUAUUAUGUUAUUCUGUAAGGCGUGGUCAGAGCGAACCAUGCAGGAUCCAUGGAUUAGACUCAGAUGGCCUGGGUUCUACUCUUUCACUGGCCAAUUGCAGGUCAAGUGACCUUAGACAAGUCACUUAACCUCUAUGUAUUUAUCUGCUAACAAGAGACAGUGUUUGAUCCUCAAGGUCUAGUUGAAAAUAAAACAAAACUGAUAUGAGAAUUUAUUAUAAACUCAUCUAAAUCUCAAAGAGUUCGAAGAAAUACCCUUUUCAAGUUUGUUCCUGGAGUAUGUGAAGAAAAGCAGUAUAUAGCUCCACCCUGCUGACUUCUAGAACUCUGAUUAAUAACCUGGCAUCAUUUUUUAAUCUUUGCAGGAAUUUCUUAACUUGCUGCUUCUGAUCAAAUGUUUCACCAAGUACUAAACCACUGCCUUACCAAAGAGGACAGUAACAGAUAAUACAGUGGCCAGUCAUUUCAAAAUUUAAGAUGUGAAUUUGUUAAUAAAAAGAUUCAAUACGAAGUGUGUUCAUGGAAACGACUUAGGAUUUCUCCAGUGCUGCCCCCCUAGAGCACUUUAAGACAUUAACAACGGUAGCUCCAGUUUACAGAGUACCCAUUAUGUGCCAGGCACUGUGCUCAAAGCUUUCUAUUCACUGUCUCAUUCUCACAACACUACGAGGCAGGUGCUGUUAUCAUUUAAUGUAACUGCUGAGGAAAAUCGGGGGUUAGAGAGGUUGGGAACCUACUCAAGAUCAUAAAGCAAGUGAGGACAGUGAGUCUGUUUUUGAAAAAGUUCUCUCCCAUGGAUUUGUUAUGCCACAGGUUUACAUACAUUCCUGUUUUGUGGAUCUUCCAUUUUGUCCCACCAGGUAAGGCAGGGUGGGGAGACAGCUCUUGUAAAAGGAAAAGGAAACCAAGGAAGUAUCAAGAUAGCCAUCAUCUUUGCAAGGACUGGACCACUUCAAUCAUACAUCACCUGAUU